rnacentral:lncRNA from 10 species
AGCGUGUGUAAAUCAUGCUAUGCUGACCCUGGUCAUCCCAGAGCCCGCGUGAAUAAAAAAGGGGCCUUGCUCUCCCACUGUGAGACAGACUUGCAUGGGAUUCCUUCAGUGCAGAAUUCUGGAAUGUUGAUGAACACCAGGACAUCAACUGGGAGUGGCCCAGAAGCCCGAAGCUGAGAGGACAAAGCUCACUGGGGAGGGAAUAUUGAAAUUGGAACCACAACACUUGGGUAUAUCAGGUUGGAAAAGACAGUUCAACAGAUGGCUGGUCACCUUGAUUGAGUAGAAUGCCACUGGAAGACCACAAAUCUCUAAACCAUAGUGAAGAAUUGGCCAAGGGGAGCAAAAUCCAAUCAAUUCAAGGGGUUCCCCUUUCCAGGGUCUUGGACAGCGAGGUGACAUGAAAUGGCCGUUCUAGUCUAUGCAAUGGCAGCAUGAACACAGAAAGCUGAAACGGGGGAUCAGUUCUGCAGCCAAGAGACAUUAAAGCUCAAAGCACAGGAAAAGAGAGUGGAGGGGCUGCUGCCCCAGGAAGGCUGGGCCCACCCCUCCUCACAGGCACCCUGAUGCCUGUUCAGCUUGGCUCUCUGGAUGACAGGCAGAAGCCCCAGUUGCUUCUCUUCUCCACGGUGAUUUCUGCAUACUUUAUCCAAACCCCCUCCCCACCGCUGUUCAGUUUCUGGCUCCUCUUCCUGCCCGUGCUCUGAGGCCAGCUGGGGGCCUCCCAGGUGACUCCUGCUGCUGCUGUCACUGGACCCUGACGCUGUGCCGCACCCGAAUUCCUCCGAAUGGAGCCUUGGCCAGAGCAAGGCGUGCCGUGUAGAGGAGCGGAUCUGAGCCUGGCAGGAGAUCGCUAAAACCUUUGCCCUUCACACAAACGCGGAAGCACGGGGCGGGUGCUGAAGAGCCAAGCAAGUGUCCCCCAUUUCCUUCCAAGGCAGAGCAGCAGCCCAGGGAGGCCCAGUUUCCAUCGCGGCAGAAGGGCAGAAGAGUGGGGGAGGUCCCAGGACCACAGCCCAGGGGACACUCAGGAUGCGCCAGGAAGGACAUGGCAGACAGGCCCUUUAGGUGGAAAAGCAACCCUCAGCUGCCCAGAGAGCGGCCCCUCCAGGCCCUCCCCGCCGUCUGCAAAGCUCUUCAGCUGGGAGAGGAGGAAAGGGUUUGUUCUUGACCUCCUUCCUUUCCUUUCUUCUCCACUGUCCACCAGAGAGCAGGAAGACAGGCUGAUGCUCUUGUUAAAGAUGAAGGCAUAAUUCACAUGCCAUAAAAUUCACCAUUUUAACCAUUUUAAGGUGCACAGUUCAGUGGUUUUGAGUGCAUUACAUUGUUGGGCAACCAUCAGCAUGGUCUAAUUCCAAAACAUUUCUGUCACUCCAAAAAGAAAUCUUGUACCCAUUAGCAGUCACUCCCCAUUUCCCCCUACCCCCCAGCCCCCCGGCACCCACGAAGGUGCUUUCUCUGUUUCGAGGGAUCUUCCUAUUGUGGCAAAUCCUCUGAAUGGAAUCAUACAAUAUGUGGUCUUCUGCCACUGGCUUCUUUCACUGACCAUAAUUUUUCAAGGUUCACCCACGUUGUAGCAUGCGUCAGCGCUUCAUUCCUUUCCAUGGCUGGACUGUAUUUCAUUGUAUGUCUGGACCACAUUCUGUUUCUCUAGUCAUCAGUUGAUUACUUACUUUUCAGGGCCCACUUAGCCUUUCUUCCCAAGGGCAGGGGCUCUGUUGUCCACUGUUUUGGAGUCUUCCAGCAGACUUGAUGGAGUGUACCAGUGGUUUCCUUGCUGGGCAAAUAACCAGAGGGUCCCUGGGUACGGGAAUCUCUGAGUCCUGAUCUUUGGCUCUGCUGCAGACCAGGUCACUGUAUGAUCUUUUAGCAGCCUCUUUACCUCACCUGGCCUCAGUUUCUUCAUCUGAAAAAUGAAGGGCUUGAAGCAGAUGGUCUCUAACACUUCUCCUGGCCCAACACUUUAAGAUGUUUCAGCAAAGCAGUGAAGAAGCAGCCUUCUGUGACCUUUCUGAACAAGGCAGAGGAAAGCAAGCUGUAGGCUGACAUAGUUAGGUGAUUCCAUAACAAAAUUGCGCUGUAAACAAUCAUCUGGAUCAAUCGACAGAAGGCACUUGCAACAGGUUCCCAGAUGACAGAAAACUAUAGGAAUGACAGGGAAGGAAUGAUGGGGCAGAUUAAAAUGGAGAAAUUUAACAGGGACAAAUGUAAAAGUCGGACAUUUUGCUCCAAAGUUCAACAGAACAGCUACCUGCUUUGUUGGAUAUGUUCAGGCAGUGUCCUUUAUAAGAGUUUGAUUGACUCUAAAUGAAUCUCAUUAUGAGUCACCAUUGGGACAGGCUGCCAAAAGGCCAAUGUGACUUCAGAUUAAAUCAAUAGAGGUCUACUGGCUGAAACAAGGGAGGUGACAUUAUUGAGUCCAUCCCUGGUGUAUGUAGCUGCUACCCUCUGAGAAGGAGGCCCCCAAUAGGAAAAGCCAGAGGGAGGAUGGAUAAGACAUGAAGAGCUCUAGAACCAUGGUUUGGUAGUAGGAGGGGCUCAGGGUUUGGGUCUUUAAAAGAUAAGACAGAGAGUGCUGUUCACAUCUGUGAAGGAACAUGGCAUGAGAAGGGGAGUUGACUUCCACCAUGGGGACCUGCAGGGUGACUGGGGCUGGAAGAUGAUCAAUUGUGACCCAGGACCAGGAAGAACUUCGCAGCAACAAAAGUCACAGGAAAUGGAAAAAACUCCUGGUGAAGAACACAG